rnacentral:lncRNA from 1 species
AUAUCUUGACAGAAGAGAAGAUUUCCUCCUUUUAAACUACGCUGAUGAACGAUCUUCUGUAAAGUCACGGGUUAGGAAGAAAACUAGAAUACCUCCUUUUUUGUUGUUGUUUAUGAAUGCCAAUAAUGUAUUCACAUGUGACAUUUGAGCUGGCAUUUUUUUUUCCUCUCCUAAGAUGACAGUAGCUUUCGCCGAGGUUGUAUCCUAAAGCAAAGUCAGAAUAACCCUUUGCUUCUGUACCCCUUGGUAGUUCUAUUUUACCCUCUUGCCUUUUUCUCUUAGACCUUAUGGUGUUUCCUAACCCUCAGACUGUUUUGAAAGGCUUUGAUUAAAAUAUGCUGAUAAAAGAAUUUGAUAACCCAAGUUAGGGACGACAAGGCUAUCUGGAGAAGACCGAAUGAUUUGGCAGCCUAACAAAUUCUAUUCAGAGCACACAAAGAGAUCCUGGAAUGUUUUAUAGGGAC